UACGUAGGGUGCAAGCGUUGUCCGGAAUUAUUGGGCGUAAAGAGCUCGUAGGCGGUUCGUCGCGUCGGCUGUGAAAUCCCGAGGCUCAACCUCGGGUCUGCAGUCGAUACGGGCGGACUGGAGUUCGGCAGGGGAGACUGGAAUUCCUGGUGUAGCGGUGAAAUGCGCAGAUAUCAGGAGGAACACCGGUGGCGAAGGCGGGUCUCUGGGCCGAUACUGACGCUGAGACGCGAAAGCGUGGGGAGCAAACAGG
rnacentral:rRNA from 1 species